GGGGCCUGCAAUGAUGGCUGUGAGCUGCAGGACUGAGCACAGGUUGGAGUCCUGGAGUUUUGUGUGCAUCUGAGGUUCAGGCUCC